rnacentral:rRNA from 1 species
GACGAACGCUGGCGGCGUGCUUAACACAUGCAAGUCGUACGGUAAGGCCCUUUCGGGGGUACACGAGUGGCGAACGGGUGAGUAACACGUGAGUAACCUGCCCACAACUUUGGGAUAACGCUAGGAAACUGGUGCUAAUACUGGAUAUGUGCUCCUGCUGCAUGGUGGGGGUUGGAAAGCUCCGGCGGUUGUGGAUGGACUCGCGGCCUAUCAGCUUGUUGGUGGGGUAGUGGCCUACCAAGGCGGCGACGGGUAGCCGGCCUGAGAGGGUGACCGGCCACAUUGGGACUGAGAUACGGCCCAGACUCCUACGGGAGGCAGCAGUGGGGAAUAUUGCACAAUGGGCGCAAGCCUGAUGCAGCAACGCCGCGUGCGGGAUAACGGCCUUCGGGUUGUAAACCGCUUUCAGCAGGGACGAAGCUUUUUGUGACGGUACCUGCAGAAGAAGCACCGGCUAACUACGUG